GUACUUCACUUUUAAGGGUACUUUCACACUUGCGUUUUUCUUUUCCGGCAUAGAGUUCCGCCCUAGGGGCUCUAUAUCGGAAAAGAACUAAUCAAUUUUAUCCCCAUGCAUUCUGAAUGGAGAGCAAUCCGUUCAGGAUGCAUCAGGAUGUCUUCAGUCUUUUUUACUAAUCAGGACAGAGAAAAAAACGCAGCAUGCUACGGUUUUA